rnacentral:rRNA from 1 species
AACGAACGCUGGCGGCAUGCCUAACACAUGCAAGUCGAACGAGACCUUCGGGUCUAGUGGCGCACGGGUGCGUAACGCGUGGGAAUCUGCCCUGGGGGUGCGGAAUAACUCGGAGAAAUCCGUGCUAAUACCGCAUAAUGUCUUCGGACCAAAGAUUUAUCGCCCUGGGAUGAGCCCGCGUAGGAUUAGCUAGUUGGUGGGGUAAAGGCCUACCAAGGCGACGAUCCUUAGCUGGUCUGAGAGGAUGAUCAGCCACACUGGGACUGAGACACGGCCCAGACUCCUACGGGAGGCAGCAGUGGGAAUAUUGGACAAUGGGCGAAAGCCUGAUCCAGCAAUGCCGCGUGAGUGAUGAA